rnacentral:antisense_RNA from 1 species
CUCUGCAAAUGAAAAGGGAUCUCAACUUUUCUCUUCCCGCUCCAGCUGCACUGUGUAUCCGUGCUUGGCUUUCAGUUGUUGGAUUCUCAUGUCUCCUUUUUCACAGUGGCUCAGGUGGAAGAGUAAACUGUUCCCGUUUCUCCAAAUUGACAGGAAGCAGAAGUUCUCCUUAGCUGAUUUUUCUUCUUGCCUUAUACUGGGUUCUUUAACACCAGAACAAAAAUAAAUAAAUAAAAGAAUCUUCCAGAAAUUCAUGAAGAGACUUCAGGUCAGGAAAGCCUGAACUUUCUCAUCUAACACCUGUUCAAGUCGGAGGAUGCUGAUUAAUUCAUGAUGGAAAGGUAUCAAUUUCACAGCCCAGACUUCUACAUUCUUGAAAUGCUGUUCUCAUGGGAGACAUUAAAUAAGCUUUGAAAUAACUUGCCAUGACACCCAGGAUGCAGCUGUAGGAACACCACUGGGUCCCUGGAUAUCAUGUAAGCCCUUAAGUAAAGGUGCCAUCAAAUGAUUUCUCAGAAAUUAUAAAGAAACAAAAGGACCAUAAACAAGAUAAGGUGGCACGAGGAAACACUAAAAGUACCUUUCAGAGCUGACUGGCAAAGAAACUCCUGAGGUGAUGGUUCUACCCCAAUAUUACUUCUUCCAAGAGCAACCUAACUGACCUUGUAUUGAAGACAGCAUAACCCCCAAGAGGAAAGGAGCUUGGAGCCCUGAAUCAGAGUAGAAGACAGGCUGAACACCAGCCUUGGACUGUUGUGUGAAUGAAAAACAAGUUUUGAGAUUUGUGUGGUUUACUUAUUAUAGUUACUGUUAUUAUUAAAGUUUUUCACUGCUUUACUCUCA